rnacentral:rRNA from 1 species
UACGGAGGAUUCAAGCGUUAUCCGGAUUUAUUGGGUUUAAAGGGUGCGUAGGCGGUUUGAUAAGUUAGAGGUGAAAUGUUAGGGCUCAACCCUGAAACUGCCUCUAAUACUGUCGGGCUAGAGAGUAGUUGCGGUAGGCGGAAUGUAUGGUGUAGCGGUGAAAUGCUUAGAGAUCAUACAGAACACCGAUUGCGAAGGCAGCUUACCAAACUACUUCUGACGUUGAGGCACGAAAGCGUGGGUAGCAAAC